UUAUUCCUCGUCUAAGCGAAGAGUUGUAUCGACAUAAUCAAAGUGUUUUGUCACAUAUAAUACGUAGUACAAGCUACAAAGAUUGAUUAAUUAUAUAUUCAUAAUUCUAGUUCAUUCUUUCCUAAACUAAUUACUACCUGCAUGAUCAUGGCCGAGAAGGAGAGCCAACCGCAGGAAGUUCACCAGAAGCCAUUCCCGGAGUUAUCAUCCCCGCCUCAUGAAGCAGGGAAGUCAAGAUGGCCUGAAGUGGUGGGGCUAACAGCAGAAGAAGCAGAAAGGAAGAUAAAGGAAGAGAUGCCUGCCGGGACUCAUGUUUACGUGCUUCCACCCGACUCCUUCGUCACCAUGGAUUUCCGAACAGAUCGGGUUCGCAUCUUCACUGAUUCCUCUGGAAAAGUUUCUAAACCACCACGAAUUGGUUAAUACUUAAUAUUAUAUAUUAUCGAAGAAAAUUUACUACCGUCUACAAGAAUUACGUCCAUCACUGAGUAUUUGAGUUGUUUGAUAGAAAAGUAUGAACAGCAGCGGCCAAAUAAUCCCUUAAGCUGCAGUCUACUAUCUCCUGGAGCCAUCCAGGACGUCCUUUGCGGUUUAAACCAAAAAGAAGAGAGGUCAGAUCCCCUGAAAGACAUAGUGUAAAUCCAAUUUGAGAAUUGAGAUUUAUGGUGUAUGUAUAAUUACAUGGGUGGUGGUCAAUCCACUAGAUUUUGUUCAAGGGUCAGCUUGCUUUAUUAUAUUACAAUCCUUGUGUUUCCUAAGCCUAUAAAAUUAGCAUAAUAUAUGACAA